CCCUUAGAUGUCCUGGGCUGCACGCGCGCUACACUGGAAGUUACGGAUUGAGAUACUACCUUGUCCGAAAUGGUCCGGGUAAUCACCUAAAAGCUUGUCAUAAUUGGAAUGGAUUAUUGUAACUAGUAAUCCUGAACGAGGAAUUCCUAGUAAGUCCCAGUCAACAGCUGGUACUGAUUACGUCCCUGCCCUUUGUACACACCGCCCGUCGCUACUACUGAUUGGACGUUUAAGCAAGAUUUUUAAACACUGACGGUGUGUAGUUCACGCUAUACUACAGUGAGAAGAAGAAGAUCGAGCUUACUUGUCUAGAGGAAGUAAAAGUCGUAACA
rnacentral:rRNA from 1 species